UGCAACCCGACUCCGUGAAGCUGGAUUCGCUAGUAAUCGCGCAUCAGCCAUGGCGCGGUGAAUACGUUCCCGGGCCUUGUACACACCGCCCGUCAAGCCAUGGGAGCCGGGGGUGCUUGAAGUGCGUCGCCGCAAGGCGCGCCCUAGAGCAAAACCGGUGACUGGGGCUAAGUCGUAACAAGGUAAC
rnacentral:rRNA from 1 species